ACCUCCUUUCUAAGGAUUUGGCCGAAAGCGCCGGGACUAGUUCUCGGAAGUGCUUCGUCCGUUCCACAGAACAUAGCCGUCGUCCUCAUGUCCCUUCAUCACUGGAGAAUGCCACUGGCGCACCAUUUACGGUGUGUCAUUGCUGGCAUCAGCCUGAGCUGGCUUUAAGCCGCCUUGCGGUCGCCUUUAUGGUGUGCUGUUCAGGUGCGGUGGGGGCCGGUAGCUCAGGUGGUUAGAGCGCACGCCUGAUAAGCGUGAGGUCGCAAGUUCAACUCUUGCUCGGCCCACCAAGUUUUUUGCGUCCGGCAGGCAACUGCUGUGGACGCGUUCGGUUUUGGUGCGGGGCCUUAGCUCAGCUGGGAGAGCACCUGCUUUGCAAGCAGGGGGUCAUCGGUUCGAUCCCGAUAGGCUCCACCAAUCCUUGACCGUUUGUGCGGUUGGAUGGUGAACGCGCAAAAACCUCAAUAUCCUCCAGGGAUGAAGACACGAAAUCCGGCCUUGAAAGAGGUUGGCUAUAAGGCGGGGAGUGAUCCUUGCUGCUUCUUUGACAUUGUGAAUGGGUUUUUAAUCGAUGCCGUGGUGCAUUGGUUUAUCGGAAAGCCAAGGCUCAAGGGCCUUGGUUGGAAGAUGGCUGAUGCGUCACUUACAGAUGUAACAAUCUGGCUGAGAUUAUCGUCCACAUCUAGAGACAACGCGGCUCAUGCAAGGCUGUCGUUGAUGGGUGGUGGAUUCUCAAGCGUGAGGUAAGAGCAUUU
rnacentral:tRNA from 1 species